GGGCUCGUAGCUCAGUUGGCUAGAGCGCCUCAUUUGCACUGAGGAGGUCGCAGGUUCGAUUCCUGUCGAGUCCA
rnacentral:tRNA from 1 species